rnacentral:rRNA from 1 species
GGAGGGUGCGAGCGUUAAUCGGAAUUACUGGGCGUAAAGCGCGCGUAGGCGGCUUGGUCAGUCGGAUGUGAAAGCCCCGGGCUUAACCUGGGAAUUGCAUUCGAUACUGCCAGACUAGAGUAUGGGAGAGGGAAGCGGAAUUUCCGGUGUAGCGGUGAAAUGCGUAGAUAUCGGAAGGAACACCAGUGGCGAAGGCGGCUUCCUGGCCCAAUACUGACGCUGAGGUGCGAAAGCGUGGGGAGCGAACAGGGAUUAGAUACCCUGGUAGUCCACGCCGUAAACGAUGAGAACUAGAUGUCGGGAGGAUUUGCCUCUCGGUGUCGCAGCUAACGCGUUAAGUUCUCCGCCUGGGGAUACGCCGGCAACGGU